AUUAAAGCUUUGAAGAGAAAGAGUAAGAUUAAUAGAGUUAUAAAGAGAGGUUCCGGGUGGUGAAAGGAACAUAACAAGUUAAUUUGAAUACGUCUCUGAGCAGCACUCCGAAAGAUAACAACCAGUAGGCAGAUGUCGUAAUUUGCACACGUUAUAGUGCUAGAGUAUAACCAGAUUAUUAUUAAAUUUAUAUCUGAGUACUUGAAGAGGUUGUUAUUGUGAAAUAAUGAUAAAAUAAGGUGGUAACACGUAAGUAUUGCUUUCGUCCUUUAC
rnacentral:ncRNA from 1 species